UCGCGGCCUAUCAGCUUGUUGGUGGGGUAACGGCCCACCAAGGCAACGACGGGUAGCUGGUUUGAGAGAACGAUCAGCCACACUGGGACUGAGACACGGCCCAGACUCCUACGGGAGGCAGCAGUGGGGAAUAUUGCACAAUGGGCGCAAGCCUGAUGCAGCGACGCCGCGUGGGGGAUGACGGCCUUCGGGUUGUAAACCUCUUUCAGUAGGGACGAAGCGCAAGUGACGGUACCUACAGAAGAAGCACCGGCCAACUACGUGCCAGCAGCCGCGGUAAUACGUAGGGUGCGAGCGUUGUCCGGAAUUACUGGGCGUAAAGAGCUCGUAGGUGGUUUGUCACGUUGUUCGUGAAAACUCACAACUCAAUUGUGGGCGUGCGGGCGAUACGGGCAGACUUGAGUACUGCAGGGGAGACUGGAAUUCCUGGUGUAGCGGUGGAAUGCGCAGAUAUCAGGAGGAACACCGGUGGCGAAGGCGGGUCUCUGGCAGUAACUGACGCUGAGGAGCGAAAGCGUGGGGAGCGAACAGGAUUAGAUACCCUGGUAGUCCACGCCGUAAACGGUGGGUACUAGAUGUGGGAUUCCUUCCUUGGGUUCCGUGUCGUAGCUAACGCAUUAAGUACCCCGCCUGGGGAGUACA
rnacentral:rRNA from 1 species